UUUUUUUUUUUGUACCUUACCCUUCCUAGAUUUCACUAGUCCCUUUUUAAUUAGGAGAACUGAAAAGGGGGGCUUCAUUAAGACAAUGAAGGGUGUUGUGGAUUCAAGACUCACACUCAUUCUGUGACGGAUCAAUGAAAGGUUGGCCACAGUUCACCUACAGGAGGAUUUGGAGUUUGAUACAGAACAUCGAUCAUCAUUUCUGGUGUCCAUCCAAAUGACCUCUGGACCUCUUUCAAAAGUCUGUGUGUCUGGCCCAUCCCCCUGAGAUGGACUUAAGAGAAGCCUGCGCAACAUCAGCAACAAUUUCACCUUUUUAAGAAAACAGAUGGGUUCAAUAAACUGUGGCUGUUGUUCUUAACUCACCUAGACCUCUGCGCCCCUUUUGCUGAAAAUAAACUGCUACAAGGGAGAAUGUGUAAUGUUCGCAGAGUUCAUUCAAACUCCAGCUCUCUUUAGAAUUAUGAGUGCUCAUUGUCUUAGAUUUCUAUUAGAUAGAGAAAAACAAAGCCCUUAGAGUAGAGAAUGAGAUAAGAAGGUUAUGGUCUCAUAUCCUCAUGAACCUUCAACUUCGGGCUCUACCUACAAGCACAUAGACCUCUCCAACACAACAAGAAGGUUCUCAAUUGCCUGUUGCUCCUCCACCAACAGAGUUUGACUGUCACCUGUGAACAAAACUUCUUUGGGUGCACCCUGUUACUAGAGAAACCAGGUCUGCUCAUGGUCCAGGACUGAAUUCACUCAUGUCAGAAGGCUGGAAAGUUUUGGAAUCUACCCAACAGGACUACACACAACAAAGGGUUCAACCAGCAUUUGUUGAAUGAUCCAACAGAACUCAAAACAUUUCAAAGAUUCAUUGAAGCAAAUGGCAAACUCAUGGGGUUUCAAGAAUUCCUGAAAGAAUGGCUAUUUAGAUAUUUCCAAAUCCACUGGAAAAUUCACAAACACUUAAAUAAUUUUGUAAGUAUAGGAUUACAAAAAUUAUUUUUUAUCUUCAGUGCUUAUACAUGACUAUAGUUAUGUGCCCAUAUUACAUAUUCCAGGAUGCUCUGAUGAUGUUACUUUCCAGCUGGAUUCCUGUCUGUCAGUAGAGGUUAUUCCUGAGUGUUUUAUAGUGAUGAUAAGCACUAGUCAACAAUUGAAAAUCAGGUGCCACAGGAAAGACUGAGUAUUGCCCGUCAGAUGUCAGCCAUAGAAGGGUCAAGGGGAAAUUAAUAUGAUAGGGCUGGCUUGAGAUCUUGCCUUGGGCAAUUAACUUGCUGAUAAUUUGCAACAUUCAUUUUAUGUAGAAUUGAAUGUGAUGUGUUGCUAGACUCCCCAAAGGAGUAGCUUUUAAGAAAGGUGUCUUUUAUGGUUUGCAUCACACAGUUUUGCAAGUGGUGCAAAGCAGCUACAGACUCUGGAAUCUAUAGCUGGCAGGAGAAAUAAAUAUUUCCGUAUUGCAUUUGGCAAUUGCUAUGUAUUAAGGCAAUUUUGUUUAAAAAUUAUUAAGGGCUUUGUAGCACAAAGACCCUGUUAAAUUACACAGAAAGGAUUACAUUUAGGAGGUGGGGUGAACUGAGGGAUAUUGGAUAUGCAAGCACAGAUGGUCUUGAUCGACUCAUGAACACACCAGAGCCAAGGGGGAAGUGUAUGUUUUGUGUGGUUACAUAUGUUGUAAAGAAAAUUGCCCCUGGUUCUUUCCUGUAAAACAGUAUGAGGAGGGAAGAAAAGGGGAGAGACAAGACCACGCGGGGAAAGGUGAAGCAGAGACAAGAGCAGCAUAUGCAGCAGCUGUCUGGCCAAGGGAGGAACAAAGAGAGGGUGAGGAGGCAGGGGAGCCAAAUCCCUUCCCUGGCAGGUGAGUGACUGAUGAGAGGAGGCCCUUCUGAGCCAAAUAUCAAGGGCACAGAGUGGGUGUCCGUUCUCUGGAUAGUUGCCUUGGACUCUAGCUGUAACUCCCCAACCACACCGCCUGGUUUGGCAUACAGUGUGUCUUCCCCUGAGGAGUGGGUUUAUACGGAGUUGCUUCUAAUCCUCCCAAUUCCUUCCUUUUCCCCCAAGGACUUGAGACACCUGGAAAGGGCAUGGGCACCUCUGUAAUUCUGAACUGUGUUCCGAGCCCUUUACAGACCUUGCCUUGUAUAAUCCUGACAGAACGCUAUGAGGUAGGUUUAGAGUGUUGUCCCAUUUUAUAGAUGAGGAAACCUGGCACCAAGAGGUUAAGUAACUGGCCGGGGGCACAUAGCUAGUGAUAUUGGGGAAGGCUUUGAAAGCCCGCAGUCUGGCUCCAGAGUGCCCACUGUUCAACCUUUACUGCCUCCAUCAACACCAAUGAGAUGACUUCUUUAAGGCAAUGAACCCCUUUAGAGCAGUAAGUGGGGAUUUUUAUCUCUGUGGGCCUCAUAAGAC
rnacentral:lncRNA from 1 species